CGCUUUUUUUUUUUUUAGUAGUUGAAGAAAAAAAAGAAAGAAGGCGGAUUUUCAUCAAGACUGGAAAGCAGCAGCAGCGCUGGCAGUAGUGCUGUGUACAGCUUUAAAUGGAGCAGGGAGCAUACAGAGGAGUUGAUAAAACUCCGUGGGCAAAAUAACCACCUCUUUACCGGGGCCAAGAACACUGCCGCAGUCGGAUGAAGAACAAUCCUGCAAAAAACGGGCCUGGAGGGUGAAGUUGAGCCACAACAGGCCAAAAAAAAGUGGGACAACUUGAAAAAAAAAAUACAAAGGAUGUUCAGGUUUGGCUAAUGAAUGCAAAGAUCCAGGGACAGGGCAGGGGGUCAGUGGGAAGCUUACUGCUGCCACCCGGCCAUGGUUUAUCCUCAGGUUCUGUGUUGCUGUUAUUGUUAAAUUAAAUUAAUAAAUUGUUUAUAAAAGUUA